GUCCUCGUAGCUUAAACCAAAGCAUGACACUGAAGAUGUCAAGAUGGAUGCCACACGCACCCAAGGACA
rnacentral:tRNA from 1 species